CAAUAGCGUAUAUUUAAGUUGUUGCAGUUAAAAAGCUCGUAGUUGGAUUUCGGAUGGGAUUUGCCGGUCCGUCGUUACGAUGUGCACUGGCCAGUCCUAUCUUGUUGUCGGGGACUAGCUCCUUGGAUUCACUUCCUGGGACUAGGAGCUGACGAGGUUACUUUGAGUAAAUUAGAGUGUUCAAAGCAAGCCUACGCUCUGAAUACAUUAGCAUGGAAUAACACGAUAGGACUCUGGCUUAUCUUGUUGGUCUGUGAGACCAGAGUAAUGAUUAAGAGGGACAGUCGGGGACAUUCGUAUUUCAUUGUCAGAGGUGAAAUUCUUGGAUUUAUGAGAGACGAACUUCUGCGAAAGCAUUUGUCAAGGAUGUUUUCAUUAA
rnacentral:rRNA from 1 species